rnacentral:rRNA from 1 species
UACGGGGGGAGCAAGCGUUGUUCGGAUUUACUGGGCGUAAAGGGCGCGUAGGCGGUCGUGACAAGUCACUUGUGAAAUCUCCGGGCUUAACUCGGAGCGGCCAAGUGAUACUGUCGUGCUAGAGUGCGGAAGGGGCUACUGGAAUUCUCGGUGUAGCGGUGAAAUGCGUAGAUAUCGAGAGGAACACCUGAGGUGAAGACGGGUUGCUGGGCUGACACUGACGCUGAGGCGCGAAAGCCAGGGGAGCGAACGGG